AUUGAACGCUGGCGGAAUGCUUUACACAUGCAAGUCGUACGGCAGCACGGACUUCGGUCUGGUGGCGAGUGGCGAACGGGUGAGUAAUAUAUCGGAACGUGCCCAGUCGUGGGGGAUAACGUAGUGAAAAUUACGCUAAUACCGCAUACGAUCUACGGAUGAAAGCGGGGGAUCGCAAGACCUCGCGCGAUUGGAGCGGCCGAUAUCAGAUUAGGUAGUUGGUGAGGUAAAGGCUCACCAAGCCGACGAUCUGUAGCUGGUCUGAGAGGACGACCAGCCACACUGGAACUGAGACACGGUCCAGACUCCUACGGGAGGCAGCAGUGGGGAAUUUUGGACAAUGGACGCAAGUCUGAUCCAGCCAUUCCGCGUGCAGGACGAAGGCCUUCGGGUUGUAAACUGCUUUUGUACAGAACGAAAAGGUCUCUAUUAAUACUAGGGGCUCAUGACGGUACUGUAAGAAUAAGCACCGGCUAACUACGUGCCAGCCGCCGCCGUAA
rnacentral:rRNA from 1 species